rnacentral:misc_RNA from 1 species
AAUUGAUAGAAACUUGCUAUAGGGACGCUUGUGUUUGCUACUGUUUUCCUUUGAAAUGGGAAAUACUUUGUUUCUUGACGAGUGAGCAUUUAUUUAUAUUUAGCAUCUCUUUCCCUUAACCUAGCAAUCCUAGUAUAACAUGCUUAUAAUGCUAUUUAUUGUCGUUGAAGUGGCUUUGGUGGCAUUUAUUGCAAUUGAUCGCCGGUGGGAAAAGGAUCUUCCG